CCCUUAGAUGUUCUGGGCCGCACGCGUGCUACACUGAGUGGAUCAGCGGGUCAGGUUGCGCGAAAGUGUUUCCUAAUCUUUAAAUCCGCUCGUGAUGGGGAUUGACGGUUGCAAUUUUCCGUCAUGAACGAGGAAUACCUUGUAAGCGCGGGUCAUCAUCCCGCGCUGAAUACGUCCCUGCCCUUUGUACACACCGCCAGUCGCUCCUACCGAUUGAGUGGUCCGGUGAGGCUUUGGGAUCUGGGCGGAAAGAGCGUUUCGCUGUUUCUGCCCGGAAAACUCAGUCGAACCUUAUCAUUUAGAGGAAGGAGAAGUCGUAACA
rnacentral:rRNA from 1 species